GUUUUCACCGAGACCCACAAAGUGCAGUCACUGACCCUGUGCCCAGACACCUUGUGUAGAUCCGUGCUUAGCAAACUCAGAAGGCCCUGUCACCAGCAGGAAGGAAGAGACCCCACGACUGAGGGCAGUGGUAGGUUUAGGGGCCGGCCACAGGUGGGACCGAAAGGGGUAGCUGUGGAUGGGCUGUAGGGGUGAGAGGGGAGGAGGAAUGGAGGGUUGAUGAUGCCUUCUAUCGGGAGGGGAACAUGCUAGAAGCAGUUUUGGGGGGAGGUGGGAAGGGUGGGUAAGCAGAUGAAGGAUUGGGUCUUGGAGAUGCUGCUAGUUUGGCUUUGACGGUGCAGGUCCUCUGCUAUGAGGUGAGUGGCUGUGCCUGCCAGCUCCUCUUCUCACUCCCUUCUAGGGCUAUGAGAUUUGUGACCCUUUCCUCUGCCUGCCUCUGCCCCUGCCCCUUGGGACCCUGCUGGACCAGGCAUCCAUCCUAUGGAACUUUCCAUGAAGCAUUGACCUCCCUGCCCCUGAGGCGUUGGGGCCUAGGACAAUGCCUGGCACACAGCAGGUGCCAGCAAGCCUUUGUUGGAAGGAAGGAGAGAAAACGGACCUCCUCUAGAUUGGAUCCUUGGCUCCUGUGUGCUGACGCGCAGCCUGUGACCGGGCUCUGCACUGCUCUUCUGGCUCCAGGGAAUCCUCAUGGAAAGGGCGGCCUCCCCAGAGGGCUGCCCAGGAAUGAAAUGGGCAUCUGGGGAAGCCCACUCCUUUGGCUGCCUCUUGCCUUGGGUGCCCAGGGCUACCGUGCCACCUCCUUUGUGAAGCUGGUCCCUAGCCCUGCUUAUCAGCCCUAUGUCCCAUUCCGUUGGCCCAGCAGAGGUAAAAGUGGCUAAGUGGGUUAACUGGGCCGGGUGUGGUGGCUCACACCUGUAAUCCCAGCACUUCGGGAGGCCAAGGAGGGUGGAUCGCCUGAGGUCAGGAGUUCGAGACCAGCCUGACCAACAUGGAGAAACCCUGACUCUACUAAAAAUACAAAAUUAGCCGGGUGUGGUAGUGCAUUCCUGUAAUCCCAGCUACUUGGGAGGCUGAGGUAGGAGGAUCGCUUGAACCAGGGAGGCAGCGGUUGCAGUGAGCUGUCAUUGCACUCCAGCUUGGAUGAGAAGAGUGAAACUCUGUCUCAAACAAACAAACAAACAAACAAACAAAAAAACCCAAAAAACAGUGGCUUAACUGUCCUUGCUCUCAUGGCCUCUCCAUCCCUCUUGCCCCAGUGGUAUUUGGCUGUUUUUGUCUGUCUUGUUUUUCCCAGACUGGACCAGCCUUGGGGUUAACCAGGGGCAGGGUGACAACUCACAGGCAAUGACGUCCCUCAGCCUCCUUCCCCCCAUAUUUCAGAGGCUGCAGGUGACUCACGGUCUUCGUCGGUGGCUCCGGAAGCCUUGCAGGUGCCCUGCCACUUGGCCGCUGUGCUGCUGGCUGCUCUGGCAGGUCCUGACUACUGCUUUCCUGUCCCCUCCCCUGAAGCUGGGAGAUUGAUUUUCUCCCUGAGUGAUUAAUUGGUCUAUUUUAAGCUCAUCAAAGUAGCCUCGUACUUUCAAGUUUCUCAUGGAGCAGGCCCGGAAGAUGAUACCCACGGGCUUAAGGCUGCUCCCACUGCAGGAUACGGGGUCAGGGGCUGUGUUUGUCAAUUGUGAAGUCCCUCAGUGCAGUCCCCCUCCUGAGCUGGACAGGGCUUGGCUCCUGCAUGCUGAUUCUGCAGCCUGUGGCUCAGCUCUGCACUAUUCUCUGGCUCCGGCAAAUCCUCAUGAAGAUAAGCCCGGGAGCCCUAAGAGUUGCAGGUUAGCCUCCCACAGCCUUCCCUUGCAUCAUCCUUGCUCCUCUAGCCAGGGACACUCCUGCCUCCUCCCUGUCUCUGCUGGGUUAACACCUGAGCAUCUUCUGGCUCGAUAAUUCUGUCAUGACCCCAUAUGCUUUCCCUGACCCUCACAUCUGGGUUGAGGGCCCUCCUAUGCCCUGUAUCUAAUCCUGGUUUUCCCUCUGUAAGCUGGUCAGAGAUGGGCUUGGGCAGAGUAGUUUCAAAGGCUCUCCCCAAGUGUCUGUGCAGCUCCCCUGACUUGAAGGCCCGUGAGAACGGGGUGGUGCCUGUCUUGUUCACUGUUCCCCAAUAUCUCACCUAGUGCCUGGCACAGAGAAGGUACAAAAAUAAAACUCUUCUAAGAAUGAAUGGUGUGCGUUUGAAUCUUAGUGUCUGAGGACUGGGGAUCCAUCUCUUAUCCCUUUGUAUCCUCUGUAUCCUCUGCUGCCCAAGGUCAGGGCCUCUGCCUGAAGUUCUUGCUGAAUGAGGGUUAACUGGUUCAGAGAUGAGGGAGGAAGCUAUUGCUGGGAGGGGCUAGAACUGCAGGAGGCCCUGUCCCUGUCCUUCCCACACCCAAUCAAGAGCAGUAGGAUUGUCAGAUGAAACACAGGACAUCUGCUCACAUGUAAGGAAUACAUCUUUUUAUUUUUUCUUUUAAGACAGAUUCUCUGUCACCCAGGCUGGAGCGUGGUGGCGUGAUCUUGGCUCACUUCAACCUCCACCUCCCGGGUUCAUGCCAUUCUCCUGUCUUAGCCUCCCCAGUAGCUGGGAAUACAGGCGCCCACGACCAUGCCUGGCUAAUUUUUGUGUUUGUGGUAGAGAUGGGUUUCACCACAUUGGCCAGGCUGAUCUUGAACUCCUGACCUCAAGUGAUCCGCCUGCCUCAGCCUCCCAAACUGUUGGGAUUACAGGCGUGAGCCAUGGCACCCAGCCAGAAUACAUUUUUAGCAUACUGCAUGUAAUAUUUGGGAAAUGCUCAUGCUGAAAAAAAUAACUGAAUUUGAAUUUUUGUUUUGUUUUUUUGAGUGAUCUCGCUCCAUUGCCCAGGCUGGAGUGCAGUGGCACCAUCCUGGCUCACUGCAACUUCCGCCUCCUAGGUUCAAGCAAUUCUCCUGUCUCAGCCUCCCGAGUAGCUGGGACUACAGGUGCCUGCCACCUCGCCCAGCUAAUUUUUGUAUUUUUAGUAGAGACAGGGUUUCACCUUGUUGGUCAGGCUGGUCUUGAUCUCCUGACCUCAGGUGAUCCACCCACCUCGGCCUCCCAAAGUGCUGGGAUUACAGGCGUGAGCCACUGCGCCUGGCCUGAAUUUGAAUUUAACUGGGAAUCUUUUUUUUAUUUUUUCCUCUUCUUUCUGAAUCUGGUAACCCUAGCAAGGGAGAAUUGACUAGCCAGGUGCCAGGUGGGUCUGCGGCCUGGGUCUCCAGCUCUCUCUUCACAUUCUGCCUGCUUCCUUGAUGCUUCCCGCUCCUUAAAUGUUUUCUGUCAGAGACCACGGGGCAUUCUAGGCCUGGCUUCCCAGCAGUGGAAUCCAGGAGCACUCCUACCUCCCAACCCCUGCCCCAGCUGCCCUCCGGAUGGUCAGGGAAGGCCUGAGGAGGUGAUAUUUGAGCUGAGAUUUGAAAGAAUGCGCCCAGAGAUGAUCCAGGAAAGAACAUUCCAUGGAGAGGUGGGAGUGAACUUGGUCCAUCUGAGAACAGAAAGGCUACGUGGCUCCGUGGUGUGGGAAGGGAGGGGAAACACGGGAAACACAGUCAGCAUUUCCUUUUUUUUUUUUUUUUUGAGAUGGAGUUUUGCUUUUGUUGUCCAGGCUGGAGUGCAAUGGCGGGGUCUUGGCUCACCACAACCUCUGCCUCCCGGGUUCAAGUGAUUCUCCUGCCUCAGCCUCCCGAGUAGCUGGGAUUACAGGUAUGCGCCACCACGCCCGGCUAAUUUUGUAUUUUUAGUAGAGAUGGGGUUUCUCCGUGUUGGUCAGGCUGGUCUCGAGCUCCCGAUCUCAGGUGAUCCGCCCGCCUCGGCCUCCCAAACUGCUGGGAUUACAGGUGUGAGCACAACUCAGGAGGCCCUGGGACUCAUCUUGGGCCACUCAAGAAAGGGCAGGAAGGGUCCUCUCCUUUCCCACCUUUCCCAAGCUGAAGGACUGCACACUUCUCAGGCUUCCAAGGCAGCAGGAACAGGGUUACAAGGUAGGCAGUCUGGCAGCUGGCGCGAGCCCUCUGGGCCCUAGUGCCGGACAGCAGUUUGGUGGCAUUGCCUGUUCUUUAAAAUGGGUUUGGGUGUAGCCAUGCGUCCCCGCCAUGCAGCGGGUGUGCAGGCCUCUCCCUCCCUCAGAAUAUCCUCACCCACCCCUCCCCACUGGAAAUAGGCCCUUGAGAACACUGCUGGCAGGGAGGCGGCUGUUCUCCCUCCUGAGGGAAAAGUCUGCAGCCCAGUGCUGCAGGGCGGUGGGGUGAGGGGGAAGCCAAAGUGCCCCCAUGACUCCUCAGCAGGAGUCUCUCCUGGCUUUGGAAGGGGCUGAAGGCCCAGGGCUCUCACCAGGGAACUCAGUCCUGCUCAGCCGGUCUGGACUCCUUCUCCAAGUCCAAAUCCACAGACCAAACAAAGGACAUGGCUCAAUACACAGGGAUUCUGCCUGUUAGCACGCUAAGGAAGCUGUUUCUUACCUUAAAUUAUCCAUUAAUUUCCUCCAACUGAAAGAUACUCUAAAAAUUUUCUGUUGUCGGAGGGUUUAAGCUUGGUCCCUCUGAGGGGGUGGGCCCUGCUGUGUCAGCCCGUUGUGCCUGCCCGUGGAAGGUGUGCCAUGUGCCACGGUAUGCCAUGUGCAGUGGACACGCCUGUGCGUCUCGCCUGGCGCUGGAGACUCUGCUCAAUGUGUACUCAGCGAGUACUGGAUCCCCAGGGCCUACCUUGCCCACUGCCCGUGGGAAGCCCACAGUUUACACAAAGUGCAUUCAAGUAAGCAGGUCUCCCUGCCCCCCGGCCUCCCAGAACCUUGGUGCCUGGAGGGCAGGUGGGGGAGGGCGUUCCUGAACCGAGGCCGGUUUCCCUCUGCGGGGAGGAAACCCCAUUUCCCUCCUAACCCUAGGCGCUUGCUACAUCUGGCCCGGCAUCAGACAGGAAAGAACCCUUUGUUCCCAGCUUGUAGGAAGUCUGAGCUGGACCCCUUAUCUACCCACAGCGCUUCCUGGACCGGGGGCCUGGACCCGGCUCCUAAGGGGCUGGCUCCCGGUCUUGGUCUUGGCCUCGGCGCCCUCCUUUCUCCGCGCUUUGGGCAGGGGAAGCUGCGGACGGCAAGGUCUCGGCUUUCGUGAGAGCCUGGUGGAACCGGUGUUCCCCGCAGGCUACUCUGCGGGGGCGGGGGUUAGUCCCGGCCUUCCCGGCAGUGUCGUCUCCCCGGUGGGGGCUGGGGACGUGCCCCCAGAGCUCCCGGAGCAGCGGCGUGGCCAAGGCCUGAACCCGGUCUGACAUCUAGUGGCCUCCUGGGCCCGGGCGGGGCGAGAGCAGGGCAGGGAAGAAGGUGGAGGGCAGAAGGGGAGGCGUGGAGCGAGAAAAUCAGGAAGCUUGGGGCCAAGCCGGGGAAGGGCGGCGGGUCUCGCCCCUGGCACCUGCCCUUCUCAGGGCCCGUCCCACCCCCAGGCCUGGCUGACCCCAGGUCCUUACAUGCGCAGUCGGGGCUUGCCCGGGCCAACCCCGCGGCCCUCCAUCCCCGCGGGCCGCAGACCCCACUCGCCCACGAUCGUGGGGACCCCGGACGGGGGUCGCGAGGCCGGGCUCACGGUGACAGCGGUUCGCCUACGUGCGGGGCCGGAGCUGGCAGGGCCCAGUCCCGAGCGUGGCUGCAACCGCUGAGGCCUGGCACGUGGAGGGC
rnacentral:lncRNA from 10 species